rnacentral:rRNA from 1 species
GAUGAACGCUGCGGCGUGCCUAAUACAUGCCAGUCGAGCGAACAGAUGAGGAGCUUGCUCCUCUGACGUUAGCGGCGGACGGGUGAGUAACACGUGGAUAACCUACCUAUAAGACUGGGAUAACUUCGGGAAACCGGAGCUAAUACCGGAUAAUAUAUUGAACCGCAUGGUUCAAUAGUGAAAGACGGUUUUGCUGUCACUUAUAGAUGGAUCCGCGCCGCAUUAGCUAGUUGGUAAGGUAACGGCUUACCAAGGCAACGAUGCGUAGCCGACCUGAGAGGGUGAUCGGCCACACUGGAACUGAGACACGGUCCAGACUCCUACGGGAGGCAGCAGUAGGGAAUCUUCCGCAAUGGGCGAAAGCCUGACGGAGCAACGCCGCGUGAGUGAUGAAGGUCUUCGGAUCGUAAAACUCUGUUAUUAGGGAAGAACAAAUGUGUAAGUAACUAUGCACGUCUUGACGGUACCUAAUCAGAAAGCCACGGCUAACUACGUG